rnacentral:tRNA from 1 species
ACGGGUAUAUAUCAGUGGUUAGAUUGUCUGCCUUCCAAGCAGGAGACAUGGGUUCGAGUCCCAUUACCCGUA